UUCACUCUCUUCAAAUGAAUGAAUUAAAAGCACACAAUUUACCCACAACUGCUUGCUUCGAAAUGAGGAAGCGGCGUCUAACUUUGCAUUCAUGCAACAAAAUGAUAAUUGUACACACACACACACACACAACGAGAAGUGUGCGUGGUGUCAGACAGGUUAGAACACUCGCCCUCCAUUUUCGCAGCACUUGUUUCUUCUCAAACUCAAAUUUAUGACCUGCGCUAAACUACAUAAGGUGACCCUGAACGCAACACUAUCAGCUGAUCGCCUCGCACGUCACAGGCAUAUCACCGCGUGCUUCCUGCUUGAAUCCUUGUGACAUUCUGAGAAUGUUUUAUUUUUUUCAAGUGUGGGGGGGUAGAAAGGAGUGUCAUGUACCGGAUACUCUUAAUUAAAGCAGCACACUGCGGGAGGAGAGGAAGAAAAAUGGAGGGGAGAGAACGCCUGAGGCCAGGAAGUUACUCGGGCAUGGUGCGUUCAGACUUUUUUCCCCUUCUUCUUCAGUCUUAAGUGAGGAGUUGACUGUGAAGAGGAGGAUGAAGAGGCACAAAUGCUGAUUUUUGCUGAGUCAGCCUCAUGACUUCAUCAUCAUGGGACGGGACGAGUGGUGGUGAACCGUGACCGUGGGCGGCAUACAUGCAGCUGCUCUGCCUCUUUUUGGUCGCAUCCCAGCGGGGAGCCCUCUGCUCCCGUCAUGAAAGGAAGGAAGCUGGAAUCCUGGAUGUUUCAAAGGACUGGACGUGACUGCUGAAGUUUGGUGGUCGGGGGCGGACGUAUGACUCACAAGCAAGCAGCAAUGAAUUAAGGGAGACAAAGUGACUGGAGGUGUGACCACAGCAUCCUGAAUUCAUUUACUCAUCUCCUACACAGGCAUGUACACGUGUGUGUGUGUGGGGGGUGUCAGAUAAUGCAACUACCAUGUGAACACCUGGAUCCUGUAAGAGUUGUUAAAGGUCUCAUAUAAUUUUUUCAUCAAUUUUAUUUGCUUAAUUACUUGCAUUACUGAAAUACUGUGGAACCUCGGUUAGUGUCAUUAAUCCCUUCCAGAAGAUCCGACUCCAAAAAUGUUAAGACAUGCUUAUAGUUUUACCAUUCAAGUGUGACGCGCAGAAAACGAUGUGAAAUGCAUGUCAACCCAAAUAAAGGGAUACUUUUACUUGAAUUGAAAACGUGAUUUUUGACAAAAACAACGGUGUGGCAGCGAGCCCAACAUAGACACCGCCUUCGCAUUUUGUCAUGCCCUGUUGGUCUCACUGCCACGUGGUGUCUUUCAAAUCCUGUCAAUCAUGACUUCAAUGAAGGUAAAAGUAACCGUAAAUGUCAAUUUCUCCCCUUCAUUCAAGGUUUAUAUGCCUUGUGGUUUGUUCUAUGCAUGUCAAACUACAAUUGUAAAACCACAAAAACAGGUUUUGUGUUAAGAUUUUUCAGGCUUGUGGUUCAACUGUGUUAGUUAGCAAAGAACUACACGGUCACCUGCUGAUGACAUCACAGACGGGCGAUGGAGCUGACUUCCGGUUCCCAUUUCCAUGUAUUAGCAAGCUGCUAACAAGGAUGUUUUGUAAUUAAGUAUACAUUAAGAACACAGUUGGACUCACACACUGUAUUAACACAAGACGUGCGCCGUAUUGUAUGCUAACCGGGGCGUACACUAACCGAGGUUCCACUGUAUUUGAAAUGUCAGCUCUCCCACUAUAGUAGGAUAUUUAGAACGUAGUGGUCGUCUCACCUUAGCUUUGUCUCCCUUUCUCCACAGAUGCAGCAAUCCACCAUGCCGGGACCACCACCCUGACUCACACACAUGAACUGUGUGGGUGUGCGUGCAUGUGUGUGUUAGUUCCAUUGAUGGACGUGUGUUAAUGAGCUGUGUGGAUGUGUGUCUGUAACAAGAAAGGGUAUAAUUAUCUGAGCGUGUGUUUUUGCCAAGUCGUAGAAGGCGGCGUACUUUCCGUGUCGUGCAAAUGAACACACACACGCAUGCAUAGACAUACACACGCAUAGACGAGGAAACAAAAAAGACCAAAAAAAUCAAAGAAAAAGGUAAAUAUGUAAUUAUUUGACUUUACAAAUGUACUAUGUAGUACUGUAGAUAAUGUGCUGUAAAAAUUUGGCAGCGCAUCUACUGUAUUAUCGCCAUAACGCUAUCAUCUGCGCUCUGACAUCAGACUCGGGUGGAAACCUCCCUUUGAAUCAUCUGUGUUUUGUCCGGUCGUGUCGCAUCGCAUUUGCACUUUUGACCAGCGCUGCAGUUUAGGAGCAUGUGACACACGGCAGUUUGGCCCUGGAUUGUGGAAGAACGAACAUAUGCUGGUACGUCCGUUCACUUUGAAAUGUUCGGUUUUCCCCAGCGACUUUUCCUACUUUUGAGCAAGCCAUUGUUCUCUCACUCACUUCUCGGCAAGUCAACAAACCAUUUCAUUGGCUUUGGAGUGACGUCACCGCGUUUGCUGUCACGUAAACUGUAAUAAGUGAAGUAAUUAUGCCCUGCAAACUGCCGCUGCGAUCGGUCCGCGAACAUGAUUAUAUGUUAUUAUAUUUCCCCAUUCACUUUAAUUGGUCACGGGUCCGUAAAGCGCCAUCACUGGGUCCGUAUGCGGACCGAGGUCUGCCAUUUGGUGAUGGCUGCUGUAUAUCAAUUUUUCUUCUCUCCAUCGGGGCCUUUCCUUUCAUUAUGCCAACGUUUAGAGUCUCUGCUCUCACUGCGACUGCCGCUGUCUUUCCUCACACGUCUUCCCUGUCUCUGUCUUCGCUGUCGACCAACAGUAGCAUGUUUUUCGCUGUUUUUCGCUGGCACCCUGUCUGUUAACCCCUUCAGGUUAUUCGGUAUAGAAAGCUUUGUCGUGAUUCACAUAUCGGUUUGGCGAAGUGCUGCGGAUUCCCCCUCCUGAAUACACUCCAGAUCCAAAUUUUAAGACCAGUUGAAAGAUUUUAAGGAUUUACAUUUUGCACUGUUGGAUCUUAAUGGGGUUCUAAGUAGACUUUCAAAAUGCAAAACUAAAAAAUAGGAGUGAGACAAAAAUAUUUUUGAGCUAUCAAGUCGUUGCAAACAACCUUUAGAUGGAAAUAGGCUGUUCAUCAGCAGAUCAAAAGUUUAAGACCAUAGCAAAAACAAUCACAAAACCCCCCUAAAAUUAAAAAAAAAAACACAUUUUGAAAAAAUGACUCAGAAAUGAGUAGCUGUGCCAUUCUUGUUAAUCACCUCAAAAAUUGGUUUUGGCAGGCUUGAUGCGAGUGUUUCCAGGAGGCUAGCAGCAAUGUUGCUUCAGGUGGUGAAGAUGGCUUCAUGGAGGACAUCCGCUGUCUGGAACUGAUGUCCAUUUUUGUAAACUUCCCUUACCAUCCUUUCCCAAAUGUUCUCAAUUGGGUUUAGAUCAGGAGAACAUGCAGGAUUGUCCAAAGAGUGCGCUUAUUCCUCUGGACGAAGUCCUUUGUCAGGCGGGUAUUGUGAACUGCAGCGUUGUCCUGUUGAAAAAGCCAGUCAUGACCACACAGACGAGGGCCUUCAGUCACGAGGGAUGCCCCCGCAACAUCUCCACAUAGCCAGUUGCCGUUUGACGCCCCUGCACAACCUGAAGCUCCAUUGUCGCAUUGAAGGAAAAAGCACCCAAGAUCAUGAUGGCGCCGCGUCCACUGUGCCGUGUGGAAAACAUCUCAAGCGGUCAUGCCAGUAACGUUGGAAGCCAUCAGGACCGUCAAGGGUACAUUUUUUCCUCAUCAGAGAAUAAAACUUUUUUCCACCUUUCAUCGUCGCAUGUUUGGUGCUCUCAUGCAAAUUCCAAACGGGCAAUUUUGUGGCGUUGAAGGAGACAACGCCUUUGAAGACAUUUUUUCUUCUCAAAACCCUUUUCUUGCAGAUGCCGUCUGAUGUUUAUUGGACUGCACAACCUUCGUUUGGGCCGAGGAUCAUCCCGUGUCUCGACAGCCAAUCGGAUCCUCCCGCUCAGGGCCGGUGACAUUUUUUUGGAUCUGCCAUUUGACUUUUUUGUUCCAUAACCCUCAGGAUCUUUUGAAGAAGUUUCAAAUGAAUGUCUUACUGCAUCCAAGCUCAGCAGCCAUUGCGUGCUGCGAGAGGCCUUACUACUCCAGCUCAACAACCCGACCGCAUUCAAAGAGAGAAAGCUUUUUUGUCUUUGCCAUCAAGAGAUCACGGCGGUGUCAAGUACCUGACAGAAAAUGACAUUGAAUCCACAUUUUUGCCAGUUUUGGCUUGUAAAGGCUGUGGUCUUAAACUGUUGAUCGGCUGAUAAACAGCUUAUUUCACUUUCAUGCUGGUUUGCAAUAAAUUGAUUACUCCAGGGGUUGUUUUUCUUCUUUUGGCAUUUUGAACCCCUACUGAAAACUUUCUUAAGAUCCAACAACGUAAAAUGAAAAUUCUUGCAAUUUUUCAACUGGUCUUAAAAUUUCGAUCAAGAGUGUGUAGUAAUUUAGAUCAAACCGCAAUUUGACAUUUUAAUGUUAGUAGUGACUUGACUUAAUAUGAUGUAUCAUUUAAACUGAUUUCCUGCAUUCGUUAGUUUAAACAAAUGUCAAGUUGAUGUAACUUGAUAAAAAUUGAAUGCCAAAUGGUGUUUGAGUUGUAAUUGUGUUUUACAUAUUGCUUGUUGUGUAAAUGUUUUCUUUUGAUGUUCUCGUAGUGCAGAGGUCGGGGUUGUAUUAUUUAUCACAUACUUACGUGGUUAAUUUUGUUAUUGUGUGAUCGCACCACGAGUGAGGGUGUCACUGCAGAGUAGUAAUGACACGCCGCUCCUUUGUUUCCAACCUGUGAUUCAGAAUUGUGAACGCACCAACUCCAUUUAGUUGGUUGAACAUAAUUAUAGUAGACGUCAUUACAUGAAAAUAUUGAAUGCAAACCGUUGUUGUUUUUUUAAUGAAGCCAGUGUCUUAUUUUUUUUUUUUUUAGAGUGUUUUUAUAUUCUGCAGCCUCCUUUUUAAAAUUUUUGCAAUUUUAUCUUUGAUUUGGUGAAAUGUCUUGAUAAUGUUGAUUUUUUAAAAUUUAUUUAUUUUGUCUUUAAUUGAACCCUGACUUCAAUACCAUGUAGAAAUGAUGUACAGUAUAUUUUUGCAAAACUUGCAAUAAAAAAAGCUGUACUGUUGUUUACAUCAGUGGUAUUAAUGCUGGCUGAGCAGGUUGCUCCUUACCGCUAAUACAACAUUGGUUCUGUUGCUGCUGUGUUGUGUAAUAUACUCGCUAUUCAAUAACCAUGUGGUACAAGAGAGGUUUUCCUUUCCAAUUUCUCAUGUGCUCCGAAUCAGUGUUAUAUUUUAAAAAAAUGACAUUAUGUUUUCCCAAGAGUUUUCACACUAACAGCCUCUCUCCAGUCGGUGCCUCCUUCCAAUUCAUGCCCCGUCCUCUUUGUGCUUCAGGUGAAACACCCCGACCCCCGUUAUAAUUACAGCUUUUAUAGUUUAACUAUGAUUAAUUUGCACAUAAUUGCAAUUACAUUUUUGAGUAUUUGACUAAAUAUGAAUAUUUGUGUUGAUCAGCAAGAGCUUAUUAUCAGUAAGUAAGACAAAGUGUCAUGUAGAAAGAUGAAAAAGGCUUUAUUUAUUUAAAAGCAAUUAGACAGUCUAAUUACAACAUCUUCAGUGUGUAAUAACAGUAAAAACAGACACAAAAAAGUAAGACACAUGCUGCUACAGUCAUACUGGGUCAUUCUUUAGUUCCUUUCUGCAGUCCCAUUUGAAGAAAUGUUUUUUCAUCCUCCUGAUAAAGUCAUGUCCUUUCUACUUAAUGCGACAAGUUUGAAGAACCCUGAAAGUUUAAAACAAAAACACAAAACUCCAGCAGUGUUGAUGAGCAGACAAAAAAAAAAAAAAAAAAGCCCUGAACGUCACAUAAAACAAUUGGUGCCGCCCACCACUGAAAGCAGACCGUAAUUCAUCGUCUGCUGUGCUCCCUGCACCGACUGCCACGCUCCCCUUUUGGCUCUGCACGCACGACAGCGCUUAGACAUGAGGUCUUAGGUUUCACGGGCGCCACGUCCCAUAAGCAAAGUGCAGUCGCUGUCACGGUCACGGCGGCCGGACAGCAAAGCAAAGAGCGAAUGUGUGCCUGAGAUUUGCUAUGAUCUGACAUUUAAAAAAAAAAAAUUUUUUAAAACAGCUAACUUUGUGAAGGGGCGGUGCUAAAGUCGAGGAAAAAUAGUCUUGAAAGUCCUGUUUGUUUUGUUAACUUUGCAAGCAUGACACAAAAUGGCCUGAAGAUCCGGUAUUUAUCCGCCUUUGCCUUUUACACAGAACCCAGCGAAACGUGUGCGAUUUCUCACAACAACAUGACACUCCGCAACAACUGCUUUUAACACAACAAAACAGAAAAAACGACUGUUAAACCUGCUUUAUGCCUUUUGCGUAGUCGCCUUUUCACAGUUCCUUGUCGGGGUAAUUUUCCGCCGUAACACUCGGGGUACUGUUUUCCGGCGAGUCAACACGGUGAGCAACCAUGGCGCUCGGCGGGUAUUAAGCUCGUUACCUUGAUUCGUCGCUCGUAAACAAUGGGAACUAAGGACAGCGUUUUGACUGGAGCUGGAACUAAUCAAUGUAAUCAAACAAUUACCGUGAAACACUCAUCGCAAAUGUUGACCUGGAAGAGAGAAGGCGUUCGCGACCAAUCAUGACAUCAACGUACAGUAGAGGGUUUGGAGGGGGAGGAGUGAUGUUGCGUCACGCAGUCACCUCAACGCAGAAGCAUAAACCAGGUUUUCAACUUCACAGCCCUGACCCAGCAUUGUGGCCCGUCUCUGUUCAGGCUCGCACACUACCUCGGGUUGAAUAGUAGUUUAAAAAAUAGUACUUUAAAAAAAAAAAAAAAAAUCAAAAUCGGGGGAAAAAGUCUGAAAAAUUCUUGCUUUCUUUUUGGGCUCUUAAAUGACAAAAAACAAGAUGGCCGUGACGACAGAGCUGCGGAAGAUCCUGGGAGAGUUCUUCCUGGAGUGCAUGAAGGCGUGGCAGAGAAGGCUGGGAAAGUGCGUUAUACUCCGGGGGGGGGGAUUACUUCAAAGGGGAAAACUUGUAGUUUGGAUUUGAAUCUUUUGUGACACCAGUCCUGGAACUUUUCUGACACACCUCAUAUGUCUCCAGCAGGGGCGCUGCUCACAAAGUAGUGUGAAAGUGGAUAAACAUGAAUGAUCACCAUGAAAUGUAUCCUCCAUCGCUUUAUUCUUUCCCUUUUGAGUUUAACUAUGAUAUUCCUGGCUUGACCGUCAUCCCACACGAGGACUGGACAGUGACCAGUGUCACAGUGAGAGUUGAGAUGGUGAUGAAAGUCAGGAUCACAUGUAAAUCGGUGAUGCAACGCUGUUGACACAACUGUGCAAACAUCCCCGACGCGCAGCAAACACGCUUGGGUGAUUUUGUCUUGGCGACUAUGGCGAGGAGGUUUCAAAACCUCGUAUUAAAGUAUGAGGUUUUGAAACCAUUUUUUUUUAGAACUUCCUGUCGUUGAAAUGUCAUUAGAAUCCAAAAAAACCUGACAGGAUGUCAUUUUUGUGCCGCCUACAAUCCCAACGGAACAGAAAGCAUAAUUUAAUAAGCUUGUCGUCUAGCCUCGAGGGACAUCACGGGGCAACUCAAUGUUGGGGGGAAAAAACUAGCAUUGAAAAUUUGCACAAAUUAACGAAAACAAAGGCGGACAAAUCAGAUGGAUGCAGAUAAAUCAGUGCAACUGUGGUAUGAAAAGUCGUUAGAAUGGUCGCACUUAAGCGAAUAUAAGACACACUCGGUACAAACCACAUGUGCCAAGUUUCCACGAAGCAGUCGAUAGCUGCGACCGCUGCACCUAAAUAGCGUGGCGACACAACAAAUCCGAUACAAUGGUCUUAUUCUUAAAAAAAAAAAAAAAAACGAAAAAUCUUUCAAUUCCAAAACCAAAAAUGAGGACCAAAUAUGGAAAUGCAUCGUUUUCUCCACAGUAUCGAUACACGAGCAUGUCAAUAUCGCUGUUUGAGGAAAACCAAGUAAACGCAGUUUGGACUACAUUUUUGUUUUUUGUUUUUUUACAAGUGAAUUGUGUAAACUCAUGAUGAAAAAUGUUGGGAGUGAUUUAAGUUUUUGCUUCAAUAACUUUGCUGCUUCAUUUUCCAUUCCUGUGAUCUGCGCAAGCAUUGCUUGUUUUCUCAGUAUAUAACACGUAAAAUGUUUGGGUUUUUUUAAUAAUGGCGAGUUAUCGAAACACCAAAUUUAAGUCAUUCUCCAAAUUUUUGGCCACUACUGUAGUUUUACGUUGAAAUAUUUAUUUUUUUCAAUGUUUCGCCCUUUCUGUUGUUCCUUCUUCUCAAGUAGGUUUCUUCCAAUGUAUUUAAGAUACCGUGCUUAGCACCACCUGGUAAUGGUACUAGUACUGGUACUGGUACUGGUACUGGUACCGUUUACCUUUUAGCUGACCUGUACAGCUUAGUGAAAACUGAUCCAAAUUCAUGUCAUGUAGAAGCAUUUAAUUGCGUUGCGCUAGCAGUCCUUAUCCAAAGGUGAGCGUAAACGUGUUUAAUGUGUGUUUGCUAAUAUUAGCUAACCAUUCAUUUGCUGCUCAGAGGUCUCACUCUCUCUGGGAGCGUUUACCGAUCCGACGGGCAAGAGCAGACUUGGCGGGGCAUGAAUCACUGCGCUAAUAAACGGAUAGGACACGCCUGGCAGCCACUUUCAGUCUGACGACGACGAUAGCGUGCAUCCAGAGGCUGAAACCGAGAACGGAGAAGGAAAGUGGUGUUUGAUCGCCGGUCCUAGAAAGCUUAAGACGUCUAGGACGAAACAAAACAGUGGUUGGUGACACCCGUGAUUUUGGAGCUAGUGGUUACACAAACGCCUCCUUUUUUUUUUUUUUUUUUUAAGAUGUUGUGGAGGGACAAAGAGCUUUUUUGCUUGCUUCACACUUACACACUAAGGAAGCCUUCAUUUAUUCACACUCCAGGUUUGAUAAGAUACCGAUGCCUAUUUUUUGCUUUGGCACAUUAACAGAAAUUAUAAUCUGAAUUUCAGGUGAUGUUUAGGAGGUGCUAUGUGUUUAAAAACGGACAGCAGACAUCGGAGCAACUUGUGUGGUAGGAACGGUAGAUGUUGCAUUUGGGAUGUGACACGGUGUCAAGGAUCCCUUUUGUCUUUCAGGGAAUUGGACCCACAUAAUUUAACAACCCCGGGUCUGCAGAGUUGACUCAACACCGUUGUAAAGAAACAAUAAGUAAACAACAGAAGAAACUAACAGGGGAAUGUACAAGGCACGUGCGGAUUUCCACAGGUGGCAUCGUUCAGGAGGAAGUGCAAAUUUCCAACUUUUUGGUUGCAUCACACAGGCUCAGAGACCAUGAGGAAAAAACACAGGCGGCGCAAAAGCGAAAAUCCACACAUUUUAGAGUUCCUGAUAAUUCCAUUUUUUUUUUUUUAAAAAGAGGAGAAAAAAAAGGUCUGAAGCUUGAAAAUUAGGUUCCUAAAAAAAAAAAACUGAAGACACAUGCUACGUCUGCUGGGUUUUCCCGCGGCUAAACCUGAGGCUGGUCCGGCUGGCCGUUGGCAUCGCCGUGCAUGUACCGUCCAAUCAGAAAGAUCAGGAGGCCCAUGCAGAUCAGGAAGGCGGGCUCCUGGUGGAUGUGUGGCAGCAACUGGUUGUGAUGGAUCACGACCCGCCUACCCGCCGCUCUCUGGAAAAGAGAUGUUGGACACAUGUAAAAUAGUCCCGUACACAAAUAUAGAAACAUCACAUUAGCUGACCCUGAAAUAGCUACGUUGUGUUGAUGGUGAUGUCACCCAUUUGAGGAGGAUGCUAAUGUUAGCCUCGUGGCAGGAAUGGUGUUUACCGUGGUUAUAGUUGCUGUUUACCCCUGAAUCACUCAUUUUAGUCAUUUUUUAAAUGGUGGCAGUUUGUUUCAGGACAGAAAGAGUUUUCUUGUUCCUUGUUUCUGCAGGCAAGUGAUUUUAUUGAGAGGCUACACGCUAAAGUUAGUGUCCUAUUUAAACGGAAGGCGCUCUAACAGCUGUAUCACAGGCAGUGGAUAUUUGGAAGACUUGGAAAUGCUUAUGUAAAGUCUUACGAGUGUUAAAGAUAAUAACAUGCAGAACUGGCUCAUUUGGCAGACUCGAAAUGCUGUAAUGCUCCAAUCAGAGCGGCGCUAUGUUUACCUGCACAGGAAGCAGGUAAGUAUAGUUGUCUACAUCCUGCCUCUUCACUUCGUUUUAGCCUCGCCAGGUGUCAUCCUGCUGUCACGUGAUCACUCGGAAAACCUGUUUCUCACGAGACUCCAUAUUUAUGCUGUAGGUUAUCAAAUCAUCACUGCCCAGUGAAAAUCAGGUAUGUGCAAAUUUGGUGACUUAACUUCAGGGAAAACUGGAAAUCAGGAAAACAAAUUAUUUGUUUUUCCUGAUAUUUCUAGGCUACCAAAUUAUGACUGUUCAGUGAAAGGCAUGUACAAUGGUUAGCGGUUAGCGUCAUUCAUUCGUUCCGGAAGGGCUAACGCUAACAAUCAAUAUUUCCCAUAAGGGAAAGCCAACAGUGUUGACACAACAUGUUUUUAUAGUUUUACAAUUAUAGUUUUACAUGCAAAAAACAAUUAGAAAUGCAUAUAAAGCAUGUAAAUGAUGAAUAAAAGCGAUAAAUGAACAUUUAAGGUUUCUUUUGCCUUCACUGAAGACGUGAUUCUUGAUGUGACUGUUCCCAAAGACACGAUGCGGCAGCCAGACACUACAUGGGCACCACCUUCCUGUUUUGCCAUGAGUCAUGUUUUGAAUUCAAUAGUGUUUCUCACCUCAAUAACUGAAAAUGUAGCCAAAGAAAGUUGCAAGUGCCAGCAUUUUUACAAAGAAGGUGAGAAACACUAUUGAAUUCAAAACAUGACUCAUGGCAAAACAGGAAGGUGGGUGGUGUCAGUGUUGUGUCUGGAAGCCACGUCGUGUCUUUGGGAACAGUAGUCUUUAAUGAAGGUAAAAGUAACCUUAAGUGUUCACUUGUCCCUUUCAUUUCUAACUUUCGGUUCCGGUGGUCAUUUUGUUAGCAAGCUAUGCUAACAAGGAUAUUUGUGAUAAAAAUAUAUCAAGACCAGAGUUGGACUUACGCACUGUAUUAAUAACGCGUCACAUUUUAUGCAAACCAGAAAAUGUACGACAACAGAGGCAACAUUUUUAUGGAAAAACACGCUAACCAGGGCGGAUGCUAACCGAGGUUCCACUCUAUCUCCGAAUUUUGUCAAUUUGCCUUUUUAUCUGUAAAACAACAGAAAAUUGCUUUUCUUUGUUUUUCAGGUAUUUGUAAAUGACCCAAUCAUCAAUCAUGUUUUUUUAAUCAAAAGCUUUUUGGGGGGGAUUAUUGGAAGCUACCGACUGAUUCUCCAGUGAAAAGCAUGUGCCUGUAUCUCCAAAGUUCAUCAUUAACACUUUGUUUGGAAUUCUGUUCUUUUCAUUGGACAGCUACACUUGUAACAAAUGAUGCCAAUUCCUUUCACCCAAUGUCAAAGUGAUAUCAUCCACCAUCAGUCGCAUCUGGGAAAACCAAACUGUGGGAUUGCGUGCAACGAGCCACAAGUCGUUGAUGUUCAGUUCUACCCACCACAGACUAAAUCCUUCUCGUCUUAGGCUUCUCCAAAUACAUAACCACAUCUCCCACUCAGCUUCUCUGACACACUUGGCUCUAGAUGUGACUACAGCAGGUGUUUUGGUUUGCUCUUUAUCCUUUCAGCCAACAAUCCCAUGCUUUGGAACAGACUCAUCGCCAUUCAUUCCCAUUGCAUCAGCAGCAGCAGUAGAAGGGUCCACUCUAGAACCGCCUCCUGGACCACCAGGACUUCCAGAUGGGUCAGUAAAGACCCACACAGACUUGGAAUGUUAAACCACAUCCAAGCCAACAAUCACAAUACCGCUUUACAACAAAGGGUACCUAAUAAACAUUUACAAGUGGAAUUUCAACAAUCCGUGUAACAGCUACUCACAAUUAUAGCAGCCAGAGCAGUAGGACAAACGGUGGGGUCACUUGGCUAGCUUUCGGCAAGUCUUGUUAAUUACUUACCGCAGUUAAUUAAGUGUUCUUAAGGCUUUUUCCGUCAUUAAAAAAAAAGGUAACUGGGCCGAACCUGAAAAAACUGCCCAAAAAAUGACCCUUUGGAAAAGUGGCAUUUUCUGCCAUUCUUGGGUCCCCGGGUGAGGGUGUGGGAUUUUUGCCCAAACUCCUGGACCAAGAAAAUGCCAUGGAAGCGAGCCCAAAUCAUAAUUUUUUGCAACAGGUGACAAAACGGAUGAAAAUCGACCCAUCAGAAAAGACAUUAAGUUUCACCAACCUCCUGGACCAAAAAAGUGCCAUGGAAGUAAGGCCCUUUUUUUAAGUUGUAUUAAUGUAUUAAUAACCAAUUUAUGGACCAUUUAUAAAUCCUUCAUGGGGGCACCCUUAUUGGAAUGAACCCUGACCGCUCUCGUCAAUGGGGAUAAAUAAAUAAUCUACUGUAUCUCCAAGUUUUCUACACUUUUGCAUGUUUUUCAACGGAUGAUAACAAGAACACGUCUGUCUGCUAAAAUAUUUUCAAAUGUGUGGCAGUGAAAGCCAGCUGCUUUACGUAAUUGUGCUUUACACCAUCAACUUACAAUAUUAGGUUAGAGUGUGUAUUUGUGUUGGCAGAAGGACGUCCUGUGUUGGCCUAAAGCCUUUAGGAUGAGGCCUGGCCGGAUGGGUUGUCAAAAACGCGCCUCCUGCAUCGGGGCCAGGGCAAGAGGGGGAUAAGCAAACUGUGUGGUCGGUUUUGGAAAAGUAAGCCAAAACCCACAUAAACCUCUAAUGCCAUGACAGGAAACAGGUCGGAGGCCACGAUGAGCAAGGAGCGCUUCCAGCUUUUCCUGUGCACAAUCCCCGAGCGCUUCAGGAUUCAUCAGAGCUCCUUGUGGACUCAUAAACUGAAAAUGUGAUACCCAAGAGGCCAGUUGAAGGAGGAAGCCGGAAGCCACGCAUGAGGAAAACAUGCAAACUCCACCCAGAAAUGCCCAACGGAGAUCCAAACCCAGAUCUUCCAGAUCUCCUGACUGUGUGGCCAACAUGCUAACCACUACGCCACCGUGCGGCCCAGACCUGGAAAUAGUCAUGAAACAUGUGCAUACAACUUGAAGAAUGCAUUUGAUUUUAAUGUUUUAUAGAUUCAUUAUAUGGUCAAUGUUAACACCCCCCCCGUUUUAUCUUUUGCAUGAAUGAAGCGCAUUCCCUGGAUCAGUCAACUGCAGUGUACAGUGGCUCCAAACCCAGGAAUGAUCCAAGACCAAAAACACACAAAUGCCAUAAAACACAUGCAACGAGGAAAUGCUGCAAUCACACAAACUCUGCAAGAUUAAAAACAAGUACUGUGGAACCUUGGUUAGUGUCAUUAAUUUGUUCCAGAAGGUUUGAUUCUAACCAAAACAGGCACUAACCACAUCAAUUUUUCCCCUUUUCCAGAAAGCCAAAUUUUUUUAUAGUUUUACAAUAAUAGUUUUACAUGCGGAAAACAAUAAAAAAUGCAUAUAAAUACAUAUAAAUGAUGAAUGAAAGGGAUAAAUGAACAUUACAAGGUUACUUUUACCUUCACUGAAGACGUGAUUCUUGACGGCCGUCCACAAAGACAAGAUGCGACAGUGACGUCAACCGCCACCACUUUCCUCUUUUGACAUGAGUUGUUUCUUCAAUAGUGUUUCUCACCUCAAUACUGUAACUCAAAAAGGGACCGAAAAAAGCUGCAAGUGUCAGAAUUUUGAUAAAUAAGGUGAGAAACACUAUUGACCUCAAGAAAUAACUCAUGACAACACAAGAAGGUGGCGUCCGUGUGCUUUCUUGCUGCCACAUCGUGUCUUUGGGAACAGCAGUCUUCAAUGAAGGUAAAAGUAACUUUAAAUUUUCAUUCAUCCCUUCCAUCCAUCCAUCCAUUUUCUAUACCGCUUCAUCCUCAUUAGGGUCGCGGGGGCAUGCUGGAGCCUAUCCCAGCUGACUUCGGGCGACAGGCGGGGUCACCCUGGACUGGUCGCCAGCCAAUCGCAGGGCACAUAUAGACAAACAACCAUUCACACUCACAUUCAUACCUAUGGACAAUUUAGAGUCGCCAAUUAACCUCACCUGCAUGUUUUUGGGAAUGUGGGAGGAAGCCGGAGUACCCGGAGAAAACCCACGCGCACACGGGGAGAACAUGCAAACUCCACACAGAAAUGCCCAGGGGAGAAUCGAACCCAGGUCUUCCCGAUCUCCAGGCUGUUCCUGUAUUGGCUAACGUGCUAACCACUAGACCACUGUGCGGCCCCUUCAUUCAUCCCUUUCAUUCCUCAUUUAUAUGCAUUUAGAAUUGUUUUAUGCAUGUAAAACUAUGAUUAUGCUUUGUGUUAACAUUUUUGAGAGCAACCCCUGAUGACACCAUGGGCGGGCGAUGUAACUUAUGGAUCCGGUUGGCAUUUUGUUCACAAGCUAAUAGGAUACUAACAAGGAAGGAGGUAUUUUGGUUAAAAGAUGUACAUAUGUUAAGAAUACAGAUGGACUCACGCAGUGUAUUAACAACACGACAAGACACGCGCCAUAUUGUACGCUAACCAGAGAAUGCACGCAAUUUGAGGCAAAAUUGUGGGGUACUUUUUCGACGGAACGGAUGGAAGUCGACCAGGCUACUAGGUAAGCUAUUUUCCAAUUAAUCAUGAAAUAGUAGUUUAACAAACAGUAGUGUAGAAAACACACAUUGCUAUAGUGGAGUUCAGGAUGCAAAGCAAAGCCAUCAAACAAUUCACUUUUUUUCUACAUAACUAGCCGCCACAAGUGAAAGGAUAACUUUUGUGAUUGAUAUAGGCAUCUUACUGCUGAGUUACUUUAUCCGGAAUCGGAAUAAUAAAGAUGAAAGUUGCAUCUCUGUGCGUAACUUGGGAUGUCUGUUCACCACUUAAUCUUUGCCACGGGGGAGCAACAGCGAAUCAGGAGGGGAGCUUAAUGUCAGCUGACUGAUGUCAUAUGACAUCUACAAAGUGACAUUUAUGCCAUUGAAAUAAUGGGCACCCCUGGUCUAAGUGUUACUGAGACUGAGGAACGGGAGUUUCAGGCUUCUGGAGGCUUACAGUUUGUUAUGGGGGCCCAGAAUUUGGUGCGCGUGAGGGAGGAUCAUCUGCACGCGACAUGCUCUUGAAACUGAACCCCUCUGUUUGCUCUUGUAGCGUAGCCUGCAAAAUUGUCCAUAUAAUUUCAUUAAGUUGUCAACAAACGACAAUUUUAUUCUAUUUUGUGCUUCCCUCCCUGCUGCAACUCUCUUCCUGUUUACAUUAUCGUGCCCACCGCUGACCAACAGGAGAAGAGAGCGGCGUCCCGUGGCUAGCCAUGACGUGUUGCAGUACCCUUGGAAUUUUGACCUUUUGAACAAAAACGGCACCAACUCAAAGUUUAGGAACACUGGCUAAUUCAGAGCAGAGAAAGUGAACUCUAAGACUGAAAGCACAUGAAGAUCAGUCAUGUUGUUUUAUUGACACUAGACAACAUUGCAUGUUACUUUAAUAAGAA